rnacentral:rRNA from 1 species
AGAGUUUGAUCCUGGCUCAGAACGAACGCUGGCGGCGUGCUUAACACAUGCAAGUCGAACGUGAUCCAGAGCUUGCUCUGGUGAAAGUGGCGCACGGGUGAGUAACGCGUGGAUAACCUGCCCUGGUAUCUGGGAUAACAUCUCGAAAGGGGUGCUAAUACCGGAUAAGCCUACGGGCUCUUCGGAGUCUGCAGGAAAAGGAGGCCUCUAUUUAUAAGCUUCCGUAUCAUGAUGGGUCCGCGUACCAUUAGCUAGUUGGUGGGGUAAUGGCCUACCAAGGCGACGAUGGUUAGCUGGUCUGAGAGGAUGAUCAGCCACACUGGAACUGAGACACGGUCCAGACUCCUACGGGAGGCAGCAGUGGGGAAUUUUGCGCAAUGGGGGAAACCCUGACGCAGCAACGCCGCGUGAGUGAUGAAGGCUUUCGGGUCGUAAAGCUCUGUCAGAGGGGAAGAAAUGAAACGUGCUGAUAUCACGUUUUCUUGACGGUACCCUCAAAGGAAGCACCGGCUAACUCCGUGCCAGCAGCCGCGGUAA